GCACUACUGCACACAGCACCGGCUAUCGGGCUCUGAGGCAGUUCUAUGAUAUGAUCAAGUGCAUCAUCCCUGGGAAUGAUCCUUUGGCGGACUUAAAAUACUAUGGCUUCUACUGUACCUUCUGGCGUUCACAAUUUGUGGAGAAUGAGUUAGAAACGUGCUGCCAGACUUUUCAAGAUUGUUACAUUCAGGUCAGGAAGAUGGAAACCUGCAAGUCCCUCAGAAACACCGGCUACAGCAGCUCCUACUCAUUCUCAUGUUCUGGGAAUGAGAUUACCUGCAGUG